UACAGAGGUCUCAAGCGUUGUUCGGAUUCAUUGGGCGUAAAGGUGCGUAGGCGGCGCGGUAAGUCGGGUGUGAAAUCUCGGAGCUUAACUCCGAAACUGCAUUCGAUACUGCCGUGCUUGAGGACUGGAGAGGAGACUGGAAUUUACGGUGUAGCGGUGAAAUGCGUAGAUAUCGUAAGGAAGACCAGUGGCGAAGGCGAGUCCCUGGACAAUACCUGACACUGAGGCACGAAAGCCAAGGGAGCAAACAGG
rnacentral:rRNA from 1 species